rnacentral:rRNA from 1 species
AGUGAACGCUGGCGGUAGGCCUAACACAUGCCAGUCGAACGGCAGCACAGUAAGAGCUUGCUCUUACGGGUGGCGAGUGGCGGACGGGUGAGGAAUACAUCGGAAUCUACUUUUUCGUGGGGGAUAACGUAGGGAAACUUACGCUAAUACCGCAUACGACCUACGGGUGAAAGCAGGGGAUCUUCGGACCUUGCGCGAUUGAAUGAGCCGAUGUCGGAUUAGCUAGUUGGCGGGGUAAAGGCCCACCAAGGCGACGAUCCGUAGCUGGUCUGAGAGGAUGAUCGGCCACACUGGAACUGAGACACGGUCCAGACUCCUACGGGAGGGAGCAGUGGGGAAUAGUGGACAAUGGGCGGAAGCAUGAUCCAGCCAGACCGCGUGGGUGAAGGAGACCUUCGGGUUGUAAAGACCUUUUGUUGGGAAAGAAAAGCAGCAGGUUAAUACCACGCGGUUCUGACGGUACCCAAAGAAUAAGCACCGGCUAACUUCGUG